GGGGGCGAUCUUGGUUUCGACGGGGGUUGCGAAGCAGAUGCGGGCAUACUGGGGUCUCAGAUUCCCGUAAAACACUGAAUCUAAAUAGUCGCAAACGACGAAACUUACGCUUUAGCCGCUUAAGGCUAGCCGUUGCAGCAGUUGGCCGAUGGGCUGUGUAGGGUCAAACCUACGGCAACGUCAUUUCACAUUGGCUGGUUUUCCGUCGGGUUACUUGGCGGAAAAUAAGAUUUAAGGUAACUGGCUUCCCAAGAGCCUGUCUGUCGGCGCAAGGGAAGCAAGAUUUCAAGUAGGCAAGACUAAGUAUGUAGAACGCUUUGUAGAGGACUUUCGGACGGGGGUUCAAUUCCCCCCGCCUCCACCA
rnacentral:tmRNA from 2 species